rnacentral:rRNA from 1 species
GACGGGUGAGUAACACGUGGGUAACCUGCCUGUAAGACUGGGAUAACUCCGGGAAACCGGGGCUAAUACCGGAUGCUUGAUUGAACCGCAUGGUUCAAUUAUAAAAGGUGGCUUUUAGCUACCACUUACAGAUGGACCCGCGGCGCAUUAGCUAGUUGGUGAGGUAACGGCUCACCAAGGCGACGAUGCGUAGCCGACCUGAGAGGGUGAUCGGCCACACUGGGACUGAGACACGGCCCAGACUCCUACGGGAGGCAGCAGUAGGGAAUCUUCCGCAAUGGACGAAAGUCUGACGGAGCAACGCCGCGUGAGUGAUGAAGGUUUUCGGAUCGUAAAACUCUGUUGUUAGGGAAGAACAAGUACCGUUCGAAUAGGGCGGUACCUUGACGGUACCUAACCAGAAAGCCACGGCUAACUACGUGCCAGCAGCCGCGGUAAUACGUAGGUGGCAAGCGUUGUCCGGAAUUAUUGGGCGUAAAGCGCGCGCAGGCGGUUUCUUAAGUCUGAUGUGAAAGCCCCCGGCUCAACCGGGGAGGGUCAUUGGAAACUGGGGAACUUGAGUGCAGAAGAGGAGAGUGGAAUUCCACGUGUAGCGGUGAAAUGCGUAGAGAUGUGGAGGAACACCAGUGGCGAAGGCGACUCUCUGGUCUGUAACUGACGCUGAGGCGCGAAAGCGUGGGGAGCGAACAGGAUUAGAUACCCUGGUAGUCCACGCCGUAAACGAUGAGUGCUAAGUGUUAGAGGGUUUCCGCCCUUUAGUGCUGCAGCAAACGCAUUAAGCACUCCGCCUGGGGAGUACGGUCGCAAGACUGAAACUCAAAGGAAUUGACG